UGUAGGCGGUUUGGUAAGUCUGGUGUGAAAUCUCCCGGCUCAACUGGGAGGGUGCGCCGGAAACUGCCGGACUCGAGUACGGGAGAGGAAAGUGGAAUUCCUGGUGUAGCGGUGAAAUGCGUAGAUAUCAGGAGGAACACCGGUGGUGUAGACGGCUUUCUGGACCGUAACUGACGCUGAAACACGAAAGCGUGGGUAGCAAACAGGAUUAGAUACCCUGGUAGUCCACGCCCUAAACGAUGCACAUUUGGUGUGGGUCAUUCAGUUGAUCCGUGCCGGAGCUAACGCGUUAAAUGUGCCGCCUGGGGAGUACAGUCGCAAGGCUGAA
rnacentral:rRNA from 1 species